rnacentral:lncRNA from 1 species
CAUCUUGAGCUCCAAGUCAAAGGGAGAGGCUCAAGUGAUGGAGCUGAAGAGACGAGCGCAGAGUCUAUGUGAGCAAGAAGACCUGCCGGGAGACAAGAAGCUGGAGGUUCAGAAGACGGUCGCAGACACGGAGCAGCAGUGGAAGACGGUGCUGCAGGCUGCUGAGGAGACACAGAGGUACUGAACACUGUUUUGAGCUUUAUCAGGGGAAACCUUCCAAAUGUUUUAUUUACAUAAAUGUCAAUGAAUUUGGUUCUCUAUAAUCUGCUGUUACCCAUCAGGCAGUUGAAGGGUGUUGUGGAGCGCCUGGUGUCCUGUCAGUACCAGCGAGGCCAGGCUGAGGCCCGUCUGUCUGAGUUCCAGAAGCAGACGUCCGGCCUGCCGCGUGUCUUCCCCUGGCCGGGCCUGGGAGAGCGGAGGCAGACGGUGGAACAGGCCCGCACCCUGCUGGACAAGAGUGCAGCUUUGGCCCCUGUCCUCUCAAACCUCCGUACACAGGCUUCAGAGCUGUUUGAGAUCACACAGGACCGUGACUGGACAGAUCCCUCCUGGGCAGCCAAGGAAGAGUCCAUCCCUGCUCUGCUGAAAGAGCUAACUGAUGCAGUGGGUAACCUGGAGCAGGGCAUCCUGACAGAGAGGCAGUGCACCCAGCUGGUGGAGCAGCAUGUAGCAGCCCAGGAUUGGCUGAGGGAGCAUGUUAAAGGUCUGCGAGCUCCUCCAGUGGACAGACAGGGUCUACACAGCACUGUCAUCACUCUGAAGGUCAGAUA